UACGUAGGUGGCGAGCGUUGUCCGGAUUUACUGGGCGUAAAGAGCGCGCAGGCGGUCGGCCAAGUCGAGUGUGAAAGCCCCCGGCUCAACUGGGGAGGGUCACUUGAUACUGGUCGACUCGAAGGCGGGAGAGGGAAGUGGAAUUCCCGGUGUAGUGGUGAAAUGCGUAGAGAUCGGGAGGAACACCCGUGGCGAAGGCGGCUCACUGGGCCGGUCCUGACGCUGAGACGCGAAGGCGUGGGGAGCGAACGGG
rnacentral:rRNA from 1 species